rnacentral:rRNA from 1 species
UACGUAGGGUGCGAGCGUUAAUCGGAAUUACUGGGCGUAAAGCGUGCGCAGGCGGUUGGCAAAGUCAGCUGUGAAAUCCCCGGGCUUAACCUGGGAACUGCGUUUCUAACUGGCAGGCUUGAGUGUGGCAGAGGGGGGGUGGAAUUCCACGUGUAGCAGUGAAAUGCGUAGAGAUGUGGAGGAACACCGAUGGCGAAGGCAGCCCCCCUGGGCUAACACUGACGCUCAUGCACGAAAGCGUGGGGAGCAAACAGG